UUUUGAGUAGCUCAGCGGCAGAGCACUAGACUGAAAAUUUACGUGUCGUUGGUUCAAACCCAACCUCAAAGG
rnacentral:tRNA from 1 species